CCAAGAAGAGAGGUCCUUUUAAAGAAUGAGCAUCAAGCAUCCACUCUAAAAGGAAGAUGGAGAAAGCCAGUGCAAGGCCUGCCUGUUGGGCAUCAUGUGGAUUUGCCCUUGGCUCUUGUGUUCACUCGGAGCCCUCUGGUGUCCCGUUUCCAGCUGGGCUGUGCACGCACCCUGGGGAUUCAGUGGAAGAGGAGCAAUCUGAAUCCAGCAGUGCUGAGAAAACCCAAGAGCUACAUGGCCAGCAUUUCCCAUCAGAGAGCCAACAGGGCCCCUGGUUUUGCCUUCCCGCCCACCAGCCCUGGUUAAUGGAGCUUUUGUUCUGCCUGAUGCUGCCUUGCUAAUCAGGGUGUAUCAUAUGGGAGCUAUCAGGAGAGCGGGGCCUGCUUCACAAAGGAACACAGGUUGCCUUUAGAGUUGGCUACAAAACUUAGAGCUUGGUGAUGGCUCAGGCACAAAAGAGCUGGCUGUACUUGAGGCUGACUUCCAUUCUACCUGUGACUAUUACAUUCAAGGUAGUGAACGCUUGAAGCCUCUGGCAUCCUGAUCCCAUGAUUACUGCAGAGAAAAGAGUGAUGAAUGAAAGCCCCUGUCAUCGUGUAGUUUAAUACUGGCAUUGCUCUUGGGAGCCAAGGAGUCCUAGAUGACUGAAUUCUGCUGUGAGGUCUGUAGCUCAGGGAGAAGAUGAGACAAGUGGACUUGGAAAGAACAAUCUUCCUCGAAAAAGUCCUCAGGGUGCAAAGAAGAGAAAUGCAAUAAAAUGAUAAUGAGGAGGCCCAGGACCCGCACAAGGGCACCACUGCAAGUAGAUACUUCGAGGAAACUUCCUGAUGCUUGUCCAGCCCUUGGUGGUGGUGCCCGGCAGCCCGUAUUCUUAUCCCAAAGCAAUAUGUGUGGAGACAGCCCAGCAAAAGCUGAGAGAUUGUGUGUCCAGAGACAUGUUCCAGGAAUGGAAACAGAGAGUGGAGGAGUUUCUUCUCUCCUCCCGUCUCCCGCUAGAGUGGGCGGUCCCUUUGGUGUCAUCGCACUGUCUUCAUAGCCUACUGCGCUCCAGGCCUGUGCGCCCAUGGCGGUCUUGGACCACGAGUGAGCCAUGAGCCCUCCCAAGCCCCAAGGCCAGGUCUGAAGCGGGCUGAUGUGUGCCCCUGGCUUUGUUGCCCAGAUCCUCACCACAAUCCCAGCAUCCCACCACUCUACUGCGAGAAGAGACAAGGGAGGAGAUGCACACCUCAGAGAAGGAGCAGAUUUCAUUCAAAGUCCGAGGGAGGCCAGGGCUCCUGGUCCUGGACUUCGUGUCAAUUGGUUCUUCCUGGAAAAGACAAUUGGAGGCACCUUCACCUUGUUUUUACUAUAUGGGUCGCGUGGCAGUGCUGGAGAAAAAGACAAUCCCCAAAGAGCACAUUGUCCUAAAGGAAGAGUCAACACCUGCUAACAGUUUAUCUUGUCAUACUAAGCCUCAAGCCCUGAGCACCAUUGCUCAGCUGCACUCACGGUCUUGGUACUGUUGCCUGGUGUAACUACACAACCUCUGGGCUGAUGACGCAAAAACACGUGAUAUGUAAUAGCUCAUUUAAUUCUCGCAACUGUAAUUAUCCCCAUUUCAUGACUUCCAUUUGACGGAAAGAUUAAGCGGCUAAUCCUCCAACACAAUUUAAGUGGCUUGUUCCAUAACUAGUGAAGAGAUUGAAAAUUUGAACUCCUCUGCCGAGCUCCGGAACCUGUGCUCCUAAGGGAGGAAUGGGCUGGAGCUCCCCACAGUGGUCAUCAUGUAAACCCAACACUUCCUACAUUCAUUGAUUUCUGCCUAAUUUACAUUCCUCUUUUGUUAGUUGCUCACAAGUCCCUCCUCCAUCCUCUUCUUCCCAAGCCCUGGUCAUUAAAAUCAAAGUCUUAAAUCUCAGAUACCACUCUCCCUGCACCUAGGCCCUUAUUUUCAUCCGUAUCCAGAGAGUCUUAACCUCUUGUCUUACGUUUGUCUAACUUGAACCUGUACGACCUAUUCCUUGAGACUCUAUAUUUUAAAAACCUGCACAGAUCUUAUCAAAAAAUUAUUUGUACCUCUGCUUCUACCAUUAGGUGACCAUUGCCUUUUCUCUGAAGACACCAUUUCUCUUGUAAUCUUCUCAACGUAUCUUUCUCUUAUUCCUGUCCCUUAACUGAACGAAAGUGGGAUCGGCUUUUCCGUUCUCUCCAGUACUUCUCUCGACCACUGUUUUGUGAUUAUUAUCCAAGAGCUUUGCUGGUGUUGGACUCCAUAUAGCACUGUUUCUAACACUUUCUUGCUUUCCUGAGUGACCCCAGCAUCUGGCUCACAGCCUUCCCUUUCCUUGCUAAAGUCCGAGCGACUCCGACAUCAAAAUUGAUCAUCUUCCCAACUGUGUACUCAGGCAGUGUUCAAGUUCCACUUCCCGAGGGAGUUCUGUCUUGCUUCCAUGGAGCUGUCCACCUGGUUGUCUCAUUUUUAAACAGCUUUAUUAAGAAAUCAUCGACAUACAAAAAUGUAUACAUUUAAGAUGUGCAACUUGAUGUUUUAGUAUACGUUAUUAAAUUAUCACCACAAUCAAGCUAAU
rnacentral:lncRNA from 1 species